GACAGAGGUCCCGAGCGUUAGGCGGAAUCACUGGGCUUAAAGCGUGUGUAGGCGGAUCGUUAAGUGCCUUGUGAAAUCCCAUGGCUUAACCAUGGAACUGCUUGGCAUACUGGCGAUCUUGAGCCACUUAGGGGCAACCGGAACAAAUGGUGGAGCGGUGAAAUGCGUAGAGAUGUGGAGGAACACCAGUGGCGAAGGCGGCUUUCUGGUCUGUAACUGACGCUGAGGCGCGAAAGCGUGGGGAGCAAACAGG
rnacentral:rRNA from 1 species